rnacentral:rRNA from 1 species
CUGCGAAUGGCUCAUUAUAUAAGUUAUCGUUUAUUUGAUAUUGCCUAUCCUACAUGGAUAACAGUGGUAAUUCUAGAGCUAAUACAUGCUGAAAAUCCCGACUUCGGAAGGGACGUAUUUAUUAGAAUCAGAACCAAUGCCCUUCGGGGUUCCUUGGUGACUCAUGAUAACUCCACAGAUCGCAUGGCCUUGCGCCGGCGAUGGCUCAUUCAAAUUUCUUCCCUAUCAACUUUCGACGGUACGGUAUUGGCCUACCGUGGUUGUAACGGGUGACGGAGGGUUAGGGCUCGACCCCGGAGAGGGAGCCUGAGAAACGGCUACCACAUCCAAGGAAGGCAGCAGGCGCGCAAAUUAUCCAAUCCCGACACGGGGAGAUAGUGACAAUAAAUACCGAUACAGGGCUCUUUUGGGCCCUGUAAUUGGAAUGAGUACAAUUUAAACCUCUUAACGAGGAACAAUUGGAGGGCAAGUCUGGUGCCAGCAGCCGCGGUAAUUCCAGCUCCAAUAGCGUAUAUUAAAGUUGUUGUGGUUAAAAAGCUCGUAGUCGAACCUCGAGCCUGGCCGACCGGUCCGCCUCACCGCGUGCACUGGCCUGGCCGGGCUCUUCCCUCUGCGGAACCGCAUGUCCUUCACUGGGCGUGUCGGGGAGGCAGGACUUUUACUUUGAAAAAAUUAGAGUGCUCAAGGCAGGCCAAUGCUCGAAUAC